GGGAGGCAGCAGUGGGGAAUAUUGCACAAUGGGCGAAAGCCUGAUGCAGCGACGCCGCGUGGGGGAUGACGGUCUUCGGAUUGUAAACCCCUUUCAGUAGGGACGAAGCGCAAGUGACGGUACCUGCAGAAGAAGCACCGGCUAACUACGUGCCAGCAGCCGCGGUAAUACGUAGGGUGCGAGCGUUGUCCGGAAUUACUGGGCGUAAAGAGCUCGUAGGCGGUUUGUCACGUCGUCUGUGAAAUCCCUCGGCUUAACCGGGGGCGUGCAGGCGAUACGGGCAGACUUGAGUACUACAGGGGAGACUGGAAUUCCUGGUGUAGCGGUGAAAUGCGCAGAUAUCAGGAGGAACACCGGUGGCGAAGGCGGGUCUCUGGGUAGUAACUGACGCUGAGGAGCGAAAGCAUGGGUAGCGAACAGGAUUAGAUACCCUGGUAGUCCAUGCCGUAAACGGUGGGCGCUAGGUGUGGGGUCCUUCCACGGACUCCGUGCCGUAGCUAACGCAUUAAGCGCCCCGCCUGGGGAGUACGGCCGCAAGGCUAAAACUCAAA
rnacentral:rRNA from 1 species